rnacentral:rRNA from 1 species
CCUGGUUUAUCCUGCCAGUAGUCAUAUGCUUGUCUCAAAUAUUAAGUCAUGCAUGUGUAAGUAUGAACAAAUUUAGACUGUGAAACUGUGAAUGACUCAUUAAAUCAGUUAUAGUUUGUUUGAUGGUAUCUACUACUCGGAUAACCGUACUAAUUCUAGUGCUAAUACGUGCACCUAACCCCAACUUUUGGAAGGGAUGCAUUUAUUAGAUAAAAGGGCAACGCAGACUCUGCCCGUUGCUGUGAUGAUUCAUGAUAACUCAAAGGAUUGCAUGGCCAUUGUGCCGGUGAUGCAUCAUUCAAAUUUCUGUCCUAUCAAGUUUCAAUAGUAGGAUAGUGGCCUACCAUGGUGGUGACGGGUGGCGGAGAAUUAGGUUUUGAUUUCGGAAAGGGAGCCUGAGAAACGGCUACCACAUCUAAGGAAGGCAGAAGGCGUGCAAAUUACCCAAUCCUGACAUGGGGAGGUAGUGACAAUAAAUAUCAAUAUGGGCUCAAUGAGUCUAGUAAUUUGAAUGAGUACAAUCUAAAUCCCUUAACGAGGAUCCAUUGGAGGAAGAGUCUGGUGCCAGCAACCGCAGUAAUUCCAAAACCAAUAGCAUAUAUUUAAGUUGUUGCAGUUAAAAAUCUCGAAGUUGGACUUUGGGAUUGGCCGGCCGGUCUGCCUAUGGUGUGCAUUGGUCAUCUAAUCCCUUCUGUCCGCGAUGCACUCCUAGCCUUAACUGGAUGGGUCGUGCCUCCGGCGCUGUUACUUUGAAGAAAUUAGAGUGCUUAAAGCAAGCCUACGCUAUGUAUACAUUAGCAUGGGAUAACAAUAUAGGAUUUCGGUCCUAUUACGUUGGCCUUUGGGAUCAGAGUAAUGAUUAACAGGGACAGUCGGGGGCAUUUGUAUUUCAUAGUCUGAGGUGAAAUUAUUGGAUUUAUGAAAUACGAACAACUGUGAAAGCAUUUUCCAAAGAUGUUUUCAUCAAUCAAGAACGAAAGUUGGGGGCUCUAAGGCGGCCAGAUGCCAUCUUAGUCUCAGUCAUAAACGAUGCCGACCAGGGAUCGGCGGAUGUUGCUUUUAGGACACCGCCGGCUCUUUAUGAGAAAUCAAUGUUUUUAGGUUUCGUAGGGAGUAUGGUCGCAAGGCUGAAACUUAAAGGAAUUGAUGUAAAGGCGCCACCAGGAGUAGAGCCUGCGGCUUAAUUUGACUCAACACGGGAAAACUUACCAGGUCCAGACAUAGUAAGGAUUGAAAGACUGAAAACUCUUUCUUGAUUCUAUGGGUGGUGGUGCAUGGCCGUUCUUAGUUGGCGGAGCGAUUUGUCUGGUUAAUUUCGUUACGAUUGAGACCUCAGCCUGCUAACUAGCUAUGCGGAGGUAUCCCUUCGUGGCCAGCUUCUUAGAGGAACUACGACCUUUUAGGCUAUGGAAGUUUGAGGCAAUAAAAGGUCUGUGAUGCCCUUAGAUGUUCUGGGUCGUACGCACGCUUCACUGAUGUAUUAAACGACUAUAUAGCCUUGGCUGACAGGACUGGGUAAUCUUUGAAAUUUCAUCGUGAUGGGGAUAGAUCACUGCAAUUGUUGGCCUUCAACGAGGAAUUCCUAUUAAGCGUGAGUCAUCAGCUCGCGUUGACUACGUCCCUGUCCUUUGUACACACUGCCCUUCGCUCCUAAUGAUUGAAUGAUUCAGUGAAAUGUUCGGAUCGCGGCGACGUGGGCAGUUCGCUGCCACGAUGUCGCAAGAUGUCCAUUGAACCUUAUCAUUUAGAGGAAGAAGAAUUCGUAACAAGGUUUCCAUAGGUGAACCUACGGAAG